AACGUAGGUCCCGAGCGUUAUCCGGAUUUACUGGGCGUAAAGCGUGUUCAGGCGGUCUAGCAAGUCGGGCAUGAAAUCUCUCGGCUCAACCGGGAGGGGUUGUCCGAUACUGCUGGGCUUGAGGGCAGCAGAGGGUGGUGGAAUUCCGGGUGUAGUGGUGAAAUGCGUAGAUAUCCGGAGGAACACCAGUGGCGAAGGCGGCCACCUGGGCUGUACCUGACGCUCAGGCACGAAAGCGUGGGGAGCAAAAGGG
rnacentral:rRNA from 1 species